rnacentral:tRNA from 1 species
GUAGCUUACAUAAAGCAUAUUAUUGAAGCUAAUAAAACGGUCCUUGACCCCUAAGCACUGU